GUGGGGAAUAUUGGACAAUGGGCGCAAGCCUGAUCCAGCCAUGCCGCGUGAGUGAUGAAGGCCCUAGGGUUGUAAAGCUCUUUCAACGGUGAAGAUAAUGACGGUAACCGUAGAAGAAGCCCCGGCUAACUUCGUGCCAGCAGCCGCGGUAAUACGAAGGGGGCUAGCGUUGUUCGGAAUUACUGGGCGUAAAGCGCACGUAGGCGGAUCGUUAAGUCGGGGGUGAAAUCCCGGGGCUCAACCCCGGAACUGCCUUCGAUACUGGCGAGCUAGAGUUCGAGAGAGGUGAGUGGAAUUCCGAGUGUAGAGGUGAAAUUCGUAGAUAUUCGGAGGAACACCAGUGGCGAAGGCGGCUCACUGGCUCGAUACUGACGCUGAGGUGCGAAAGCGUGGGGAGCAAACAGGAUUAGAUACCCGAGUAGUCC
rnacentral:rRNA from 1 species